AGAUGAGAUAAUUCAGAAAUCAUGUUAACCCCCUAGAGUUGAUGUCUGUAGCUUCUGAACAGUUUGGCCUACAAAACUAAUAUGAUCACUCUAUGGAAAGAUGAGACUCUCACAAGACACUAUGUUGCCUAAAAGCCUGGUAUGAAGGUAGCCUGGUAUGGAGGUAGCCUGGUAGGGAGGUAGCCUGGUAUAAAGGUAUUCUUGGAUGUAGGUAGCCUGUUAGGAAGGUAGUCUGUUAGGAAGGUAGCCUGUUAGGAAGGUAGCCUGGUAGGAAGGUAGCCCGGUAGGGAGGUAGCCUGGUAGGGAGGUAGCCUGGUAGGGAGGUAUUCUUGUAUGAAGGUAGCCUGGUAGGGAGGUAGCCUGGUAGGGAGGUAUUCUUGUAUGAAGGUAGCCUGGUAGGAAGGUAUACUUAUAUGAAGGUAGCCUGGUAGGGAGGUAACCUGGUAGGGAGGUAUUCUUGUAUGAAGGUAGCCUGGUAGGAAGGUAUACUUAUAUGAAGGUAGCCUGGUAUGAAGGUAGCCUGGUAUGAAGGUAUUCUUGUAUGAAGGUAGCCUGGUAGGAAGGUAGCCUGGUAGGGAGGUAGCCUGGUAUGGAGGUAGCCUGGUAUGGAGGUAGCCUGGUAUGGAGGUAGCCUGGUAGGGAGGUAGCCUGGUAUAAAGGUAUUCUUGGAUGAAGGUAGCCUGUUAGGAAGGUAGUCUGUUAGGAAGGUAGCCUGGUAGGAAGGUAGCCUGGUAGGAAGGUAGCCCGGUAGGGAGGUAGCCUGGUAGGGAGGUAGCCUGGUAGGGAGGUAUUCUUGUAUGAAGGUAGCCUGGUAGGGAGGUAGCCUGGUAGGGAGGUAUUCUUGUAUGAAGGUAGCCUGGUAGGGAG
rnacentral:lncRNA from 1 species